CCUCAGGAACGCCGUCAGUCUUGCCUUCCUGGGCUGCACAGACCCUGCGGGUGGCAGGAAGAACUGCACUCCCUGGGUCUAGAGGGAACACCUGAAUUUCGGCCCAGGUUACUUUGUCACAUCAGCAAGAGGAAAACUCCAACCAUGGAGAUAAGAUGUGGACUUCGCCUCUCUUCUGGCCGAACUUCCUACCGUGACCAUGCUGUGAUUGGGGGCCUUUCCAGCGUUCAGCACAGCCUCUCGUGCUGCCCUACCCUGCCUAUGACUGAGCUGGGACCAGAAGUACCAGGACAAGAACCAAUUUUGGAGCAUGAAAUUGAGACGGGUGGGAGAUUUAAAGCCCCAUUGGCUCCUGGGAGAAAUGGAGAGACUCAAUGAAUAUAAGAAAUGGGGGGUCGGGCAUGAUGACUCAAACCUGUAAUCCCAACACUUUGGGAGGCGGAGGCAGGCAGAUCACUUGAGAUCAAAAGUUCAAGACCAGCCUGGCCAACAUGAUAAAAUCCCGUCUCUACUAAAAAUACAAAAAGCUAGCCAGGCAUGGUGGUACACACCUGUAAUCUCAGUUACUUGGGAGGCUGAGGCAGGAGAAAUCGCUUGAACCCGGGAGGUGGAGGUUGCAGUGAACUGAGAUUGCACCACUGCACUCCAGCCUGAGUAAUAAACUCUGUCUCAAAAAAA
rnacentral:lncRNA from 1 species